GGUGGUAAUGCCGGAUGUUCCACAUGAGCGCAUGCGAGUGUGGGAAAGGCUUUUUGCGGCAUGGGAUGGGGUCGCGUCCUAUCAGCUUGUUGGUGGGGUAACGGCCUACCAAGGCGUUGACGGGUAGCCGGCCUGAGAGGGCGACCGGCCACAUUGGGACUGAGAUACGGCCCAGACUCCUACGGGAGGCAGCAGUGGGGAAUAUUGCACAAUGGGCGCAAGCCUGAUGCAGCGACGCCGCGUGCGGGAUGGAGGCCUUCGGGUUGUAAACCGCUUUUGUUCAAGGGCAAGGCACGGUCUUUGGCCGUGUUGAGUGGAUUGUUCGAAUAAGCACCGGCUAACUACGUGCCAGCAGCCGCGGUAAUACGUAGGGUGCAAGCGUUAUCCGGAUUUAUUGGGCGUAAAGGGCUCGUAGGCGGUUCGUCGCGUCCGGUGUGAAAGUCCAUCGCUUAACGGUGGAUCGCGCCGGGUACGGGCGGGCUUGAGUGCGGUAGGGGAGACUGGAAUUCCCGGUGUAACGGUGGAAUGUGUAGAUAUCGGG
rnacentral:rRNA from 1 species